UGCUCAUUCUAUUCAGUUCUUUUUUUUUUUUUUCAGGAAUUUGGGAAAGUAACCUAUGAAGAAAAUUCCCUUUGUGGGGAGGGGUGUCUGAUCUUGUCAAAGAUCAUUUUGUUUGACAAAUGCCACAAGGCAAACCGAGGACCAAGGCAAGAAGUUAGCCGGCGCAAGGAGUUCAGAGAGGGGGUGCCCAGAAUUUGAGCUCCCAUCUGCCUGCAGCCAAAGCUGAUGUUCUUUUCAUAACUCCCUUCUGUUUCUCUUGACACUUGCAGCUAGUGAGCCCAAAGAUUGCCCGUCGGUAAAACCUGCAAGUGCGGGAGUUGGCCGAGGAGCUCCGACCCCUGGGAACCAGAGCACCAGUCCGAAGGCACUGUGAGGUCACAGGAGUCUGAGUAACAGGUGCCCUGGGACAGCACGCUCUCUCUCACGCACCGAGACGAGCAGCAGUAACUCACGCAGGAUGCUUCCCACACCAGCACCGCCCCUCCUGCCCUCCAUCUCUCCUCUGCUCCUGUGGCUCACACUUGACUCAGUACAGAUUUGAAACAGGCACAAGGAAGAGAUGACACUGCUUGGUUUCUAUACAAGAACCCUUCCUUGGCUGACUGAAAGUGAAUUUUUAAUCUUUGCUGGUAAAAAGUCCUUUUACAACUCAGCAUUUCUGUCAAAAGCCAAGUGCGUCUGUGAAAAAUGCUGAAAUUUGGAUUUUACUGAAGACUAAAUGGAAACUCAUGUUUCGUGCUCCGAUUUGAUUUUCCUUUGUUUGGUAGCCACACAGCAGUUCACCUCAGACUAGGGCUGGUGAAAGAAAGCUCCAGCUGGAAAUCUGCACUGAAAAAAAUGUGAAAUGAAUAUAAUUCAGACGGACAACAAAGCUUUCCUCUUAAGCCAGGGCGACAGCAGCUCAGAUGAAGGGGAGUAGAAUAUGGCCUGAUGGAAACGGGAGAUUCCGGGUCAGGACACCUGAGUCCGAACCCUGCCUCCACGACUUACUGUGUGGCCCUGGGUGAGGGGCUUGACUUCCCUGAGCCUCAAUUUCCACGCCUGUAAAAUGGAAAUAAAGCCCUGAAGGGUUUUGGAGGUUAGAAGUACCUGACAUCUAAGUGGUUCUCAAUGACCACUGAGUGGAAACGUAUAGGCUUUGAGAGAAAUGAGAUGUGUUCCAAUUCCAAACCUACUUCCUGCUUCCUUUCUGGAAGGGUGAUCCCUGCCUGAAUGCUACCUUCUGCAAGGGGGAGGCAGGCAUACUCCUGUUCAAGUUCAAAAGCUUUACUGAGAUUUUAAAAAGUUCAAAGAUGACAUAAAAAUGUGUCUCAUAAAAGUCGCAAACACAGAAAAGUUCCUUGAUUAAGAAAGCAAAUCAUUUGUUACAUAACUUCUAUAAAAGAUUGCAAUGCAGAUGAAAUCCACAUUUUGCCAGUCAGCAUGGUACACUAGAAUGAGCCUGAGACUGGAAAUUGCAAGGCAGAGGUCCUGGUGCAGACUCCAUCAGUAACUUUCCACAAGGAAGCACACUCCUCUGACCCUAGUCUGUUUAGUAGUUGGAGUGUGACCAGAUCCAGCUAAACAAAAAUUCCAUGAUUUUGCAUUAACAAUCCAAAAUCUGAAACAAAAAUAUAAUUCACAUCUUGACAUUCUGUUUACAUUUCUCUGCUAAUUGUUAGUGUCAGUGCAACUUUUUACAUUGCUUCUGUCUUCUGUCUUCAUGUGAGAAUAUCCAAGUGCCAGCUAAGCAACAAUGCUCAGAAUGCGUGCUUACUUAAGUUCCAGCAAGUACUCAGGCGUGGAAGUAAGGUUUAGAGAUGACAGGUGUAAAUUUCCAAUGAGGGCGAGACACUAGAUGCAAAACUAAAGGAGCAGGAUCCACAGAUGUGAUAACUCAGUAGGUAAGCAUGUGGUUUAGAGUAAGACACCAUUUCAUUGGCUACUAGGUGGGGUGCGGGGCAAGUUAACCUCUCUGCCCCACUGCCUUAUCUAUGUGAUGGGGGAAGGGGAGCUACUGUAUUUCGCCACUGAAAAGAUUAUUGAGAUAAUACACGUGAAGUAGAAUUCCCGACUUCUACGGAGCACUCAAUAAAUGCUAUUUUUUUAAAGUAUAUUAAAAAAAUCUUAACCC